UUUAAACUCUAAUUUGCCCGGGUCUGGGAUCUGCCUGAAGAUCAAGAAGCAGCGUUUUUAGAUCCGGAUAAUAAAGGUUGGUUUUGACCUUGAAGAAUUAGGGGUUGGAAUUCCUCCACUGGUUGAAGUUGACCAUUUGAAGAUAACUUAUCCCAACUUUACCGAAUCAAUAGAUUAUGCGGCUCUUGCAGAUGGCCUGCUGUGGAGUUGUCAUCCAAAGACAAUAACUGUUCCCUCAAAUUCCACAUUCGAAAUCAAUUGCAUAAAGGUUCUUUGUGAGAAGCUUCUGAUUUUGAAGAUACUUUUAGGGAUAAGCCCAGUCAAUAGGCUGAAACGCAAAGAGUUCAUGAUGCCGAACUAUGUACCGCACACGUCAUUUAGAUGGGCUCCAGAAUUGGACAGAGAAGACCUGUCGUGCUGCAUAUCUGGCCGCAUAAAAUGUUGGCAUCAUGGCUUAAAAGGCGCAAAGAUUGAACGCUUCGGAGGGAUUAAAGAUGAGCAGCUUCUUCACUGGAAUCAUUUGUUAGAAUCGCUUACAAGAGGUCAGGAAAUAUGCCUCAAACUGGAGUGGGAUUUGGAAAGAAUUAAAGGAUGGCCUAAAUUAGUUGGGGACUACAAUCAAGCCAGUUAGAUUAUUUAUUUGGAUUCAAUUUGUUGUUUUGAGAUUGCAAAAGAUAACCACCGUGUCAUAUAUAGUGCAUAUGCUCACAUUACUAGUUUUCUUUUUCUUGGCAAAUGAGACUUAUAGGUUCAG